CGAAGCAGGGGUAGCGAAAGGGUUAGAUACCCCUGUAGUCCUGGCCGUAAACUGAUCGAACACUAGGUGUCGGGGGAAUCGACCCCCUCGGUGUCGUAGCCAACGCGUUAAGUGUUCCGCCUGGGGAGUACGCACGCAAGUGUGAAACUCAAAGGAAUUGACGGGGGCCCGCACAAGCGGUGGAGUAUGUGGUUUAAUUCGAUGCAACGCGAAGAACCUUACCAGGGUUUGACAUCCUGCGAAUCCCUUGGAAACGAGGGAGUGCCUUCGGGAGCGCAUAGACAGGUGGUGCAUGGCUGUCGUCAGCUCGUGUCGUGAGAUGUUGGGUUAAGUCCCGCAACGAGCGCAACCCACGUCGUUAGUUGCCAGCAUUCAGUUGGGCACUCUAGCGAGACCGCCGGUGAUAAACCGGAGGAAGGUGUGGAUGACGUCAAGUCAUCAUGCCCCUUAUUUCCUGGGCUACACACGUACUACAAUGCUACGGGACAAAGGGCAGCGAGCUCGCGAGAGUAAUCUAAUCC
rnacentral:rRNA from 1 species